AAGUCUGACGCGAGCACGCCGCGUGAGCGAUGAAGGCCUUCGGGUCGUAAAGCUCUGUUGUUAGGGAAGAACAAGUACCGGAGUAACUGCUCGUACCUUGACGGUACCUAACCAGAAAGCCACGGCUAACUACCUGCCAGCAGCCGCGGUAAUACCUAAGUGGCAAGCGUUUUCCGGAAUUAUUGGGCGUAAAGCGCGCGCAGGCGGUUUCUUAAGUCUGAUGUGAAAGCCCACGGCUCAACCGUGGAAGGUCAUUGGAAACUGGGGAACUUGAGUGCAGAAAAAGAAAGCGGAAUUCCACGUGUAGCGGUGAAAUGCGUAAAGAUGUGGAGGAACACCAGUGGCGAAGGCGGCUUUCUGGUCUGUAACUGACGCUGAAGCGCGAAAGC
rnacentral:rRNA from 1 species